rnacentral:rRNA from 1 species
CGUGCCUAACACAUGCAAGUCGAACGAGAAAUUUCCCGCUUGCGGGAGAAAGUAAAGUGGCGCACGGGUGAGUAACGCGUGGGUAACCUACCUUUGAAUCUGGAAUAACCAGCCGAAAGGCUGACUAAUACCGGAUAUGGUUUUUAGGACUUAGGUUCUCUAAAUUAAAGGUGACCUCUUCAUGAAAGUUGCCGUUCAUAGAUGGGCCCGCGUACCAUUAGCUUGUUGGUGGGGUAAUGGCCUACCAAGGCGACGAUGGUUAGCUGGUCUGAGAGGAUGAUCAGCCACACUGGAACUGGAACACGGUCCAGACUCCUACGGGAGGCAGCAGUGAGGAAUUUUGCGCAAUGGGGGAAACCCUGACGCAGCAACGCCGCGUGAGCGAAGAAGGCCUUCGGGUCGUAAAGCUCUGUCAAGUGGGAAAAAAAUCUUUUGAUCAAUAGUCAAAAGACUUGAUGGUACCACUGGAGGAAGCACCGGCUAACUCCGUGCCAGCAGCCGCGGUAAUACGGAGGGUGCAAGCGUUGUUCGGAUUUACUGGGCGUAAAGAGCGUGUAGGCGGUUUAGCAAGUCAGAUGUGAAAGCCCUGGGCUCAACCCGGGAAGUGCAUUUGAAACUGCUUCACUAGAGUAUGGGAGAGGAGAUUGGAAUUCCUGGUGUAGAGGUGAAAUUCGUAGAUAUCAGGAGGAACACCCGUGGCGAAGGCGAUUCUCUGGACCAAUACUGACGCUGAGACGCGAAAGCGUGGGGAGCAAACAGGAUUAGAUACCCUGGUAGUCCACGCCGUAAACGAUGAGAACUAGGUGUAGUGGGUAUUGACCCCUGCUGUGCCGAAGUUAACGCAUUAAGUUCUCCGCCUGGGGAGUACGGCCGCAAGGCUAAAAACUCAAAGGAAUUGACGGGGGCCCGCACAAGCGGUGGGGCAUGUGGUUUAAUUCGACGCAACGCGAAGAACCUUACCUGGGUUUGACAUCCUCUGACCGUCUGGGAAA